AGUGGCGGACGGGUGAGUAACGCGUGAGUAACCUGCCCUGGAGUGGGGGACAACAGUUGGAAACGACUGCUAAUACCGCAUAAGCCCACGAUCCGGCAUCGGAUUGAGGGAAAAGGAUUUAUUCGCUUCAGGAUGGACUCGCGUCCAAUUAGCUGGUUGGUGAGGUAACGGCCCACCAAGGCGACGAUUGGUAGCCGGACUGAGAGGUUGAACGGCCACAUUGGGACUGAGACACGGUCCAA
rnacentral:rRNA from 1 species